CCCCUUUGGAGCAAUAACCCUUAAACUCAAUCCCAUGCUUUCCUUUGUAAUAUUGAACCUUGUAGUAUGAUUUCAGAGAGAUCCAUACACUUAUAAACACAAGUUAUUGUCAUGAUUGUUUGGAAACUAGAAACAUGCUUCUUUUUGGCCCUUAAUUCCUACAUAUUUUGGGCAAUUAACCCAAAACUUAAUCCCAGCCUCCCCUUUGUUAUAUGGUACAUUGUGGUACAAUUUCAGAGCGAUCCAUGCAAUUACACACAAGGUAUUGUCUGGAAACUAGAAAAAUGCUUGUUUUGGCCCCUUUUGGCCCUUAAUUCCUAAACUUUGGCCCCAUAACCCCUUAAAUGAAUCCAAACCUUCUACUUGUGAUUUUAAACAUUGCAGUAUACUUUCAGAG
rnacentral:lncRNA from 1 species